rnacentral:rRNA from 1 species
GGGUUGUGAGGUUAAGCGACUAAGCGUACACGGUGGAUGCCCAGGCAGUCAGAGGCGAUGAAGGACGUGCUAAUCUGCGUAAAGCGACGGUAAGGUGAUAUGAACCGCUACAGCCGUCGAUGUCCGAAUGGGGAAACCCGGUGCACUCUGUGCAUCAUUGCAGCAUGAAUACAUAGUGCUGCAAGGCGAACCGGGGGAACUGAAACAUCUAAGUACCCCGAGGAAAAGAAAUCAACCGAGAUUCCCCCAGUAGCGGCGAGCGAACGGGGAGCAGCCCAGAGCCUGAAUCAGCUUGUGUGUUAGUGGAAGCGUCUGGAAAGUCGCAGGGUACAGGGUGAUACUCCCGUACACAAAAGCACACAUGCUGUGAGCUCGAUGAGUAAGGCGGGACACGUGGUAUCCUGUCUGAAUAUGGGGGGACCAUCCUCCAAGGCUAAAUACUCCUGACUGACCGAUAGUGAACCAGUACCGUGAGGGAAAGGCGAAAAGAACCCCGGCGAGGGGAGUGAAACAGAACCUGAAACCGUGUACGUACAAGCAGUGGGAGCCUUCUUUAUGGGGGUGACUGCGUACCUUUUGUAUAAUGGGUCAGCGACUUAUAUUCUGUAGCAAGGUUAACCGUAUAGGGGAGCCGCAGGGAAACCGAGUCUUAACUGGGCGUUAAGUUGCAGGGUAUAGACCCGAAACCCGGUGAUCUAGCCAUGGGCAGGUUGAAGGUUGGGUAACACUAACUGGAGGACCGAACCGACUAAUGUUGAAAAAUUAGCGGAUGACCUGUGGCUGGGGGUGAAAGGCCAAUCAAACCGGGAGAUAGCUGGUUCUCCCCGAAAGCUAUUUAGGUAGCGCCUCGUGAACUCAUCUUCGGGGGUAGAGCACUGUUUCGGCUAGGGGGCCAUCCCGGCUUACCAACCCGAUGCAAACUGCGAAUACCGAAGAAUGUUAUCACGGGAGACACACGGCGGGUGCUAACGUCCGUCGUGAAGAGGGAAACAACCCAGACCGCCAGCUAAGGUCCCAAAGUCAUGGUUAAGUGGGAAACGAUGUGGGAAGGCACAGACAGCCAGGAUGUUGGCUUAGAAGCAGCCAUCAUUUAAAGAAAGCGUAAUAGCUCACUGGUCGAGUCGGCCUGCGCGGAAGAUGUAACGGGGCUAAACCAUGCACCGAAGCUGCGGCAGCGACGCUUAUGCGUUGUUGGGUAGGGGAGCGUUCUGUAAGCCGUCGAAGGUGUGCUGUGAGGCAUGCUGGAGGUAUCAGAAGUGCGAAUGCUGACAUAAGUAACGAUAAAGCGGGUGAAAAGCCCGCUCGCCGGAAGACCAAGGGUUCCUGUUCAACGUUAAUCGGAGCAGGGUGAGUCGACCCCUAAGGCGAGGCCGAAAGGCGUAGUCGAUGGGAAACAGGUUAAUAUUCCUGUACUCGGUGUUACUGCGAAGGGGGGACGGAGAAGGCUAUAUCAGCCGGGCGACGGUUGUCCCGGUUUAAGCGUGUAGGCGGAGCGUCCAGGUAAAUCCGGAUGCUUGUUAACGCUGAGGCGUGACGACGAGGCACUACGGUGCUGAAGUGAUAAAUGCCCAGCUUCCAGGAAAAGCCUCUAAGCAUCAGGUAACACAGAAUCGUACCCCAAACCGACACAGGUGGUCAGGUAGAGAAUACCAAGGCGCUUGAGAGAACUCGGGUGAAGGAACUAGGCAAAAUGGUGCCGUAACUUCGGGAGAAGGCACGCUGGCGCGUAGGUGGAGGGACUUGCUCCCCGAGCCGAAGCCAGUCGAAGAUACCAGCUGGCUGCAACUGUUUAUUAAAAACACAGCACUGUGCAAACACGAAAGUGGACGUAUACGGUGUGACGCCUGCCCGGUGCCGGAAGGUUAAUUGAUGGGGUUAUCCGCAAGGAGAAGCUCUUGAUCGAAGCCCCGGUAAACGGCGGCCGUAACUAUAACGGUCCUAAGGU